GGGGAAUAUUGCACAAUGGGGGAAACCCUGAUGCAGCGACGCCGCGUGAGUGAAGAAGUACUUCGGUAUGUAAAGCUCUAUCAGCAGGGAAGAAAAUGACGGUACCUGAGUAAGAAGCCCCGGCUAACUACGUGCCAGCAGCCGCGGUAAUACGUAGGGGGCAAGCGUUAUCCGGAUUUACUGGGUGUAAAGGGAGCGCAGACGGUUGCGCAAGUCUGAAGUGAAAUCCCGAGGCUUAACCACGGGACUGCUUUGGAAACUGUGCGACUUGAGUAUCGGAGGGGCAGGCGGAAUUCCUAGUGUAGCGGUGAAAUGCGUAGAUAUUAGGAAGAACACCGGUGGCGAAGGCGGCCUGCUGGACGAAAACUGACGUUGAGGCUCGAAGGCGUGGGGAGCAAACAGGAUUAGAUACCCUGGUAGUCCACGCGGUAAACGAUGAAUACUAGGUGUUGGUGCCCCAAGGGCAUCGGUGCCGUCGCAAACGCAAUAAGUAUUCCACCUGGGGAGUACGUUCGCAAGAAUG
rnacentral:rRNA from 1 species